GGAAACACAAACAAAUAAAACCCUCUCCUCCCGUCUUCUCCUCUCCCCCUCUCUCCACUCACUUAGCAAUAGCUAGGGUUUUAUUAUCUUUCUCUCCCCUGUAUUAGAAACCCUAGCUUUGAAACUCUCAUCCCCAACAACAAUAAUCACCAUCAGCGUUGGAUUUGCCAUCACCGAUCCGCCGUUGCCCGUCGCGUAGCACCUCCUUCUGUCGCAGAACCACCACCUUAGUGCCGACGAUGACAGAUCUUGAAGGACGACCAAACCCUAGAGAGCUACGGAUAAUUCAAUCGAUUCUCACUGUACUCAUUUUUUGUACAUGUGAAUGUAGAUAUAGCUUUCAAAUGAUACUUUCCAACCAUCAAUGCCGGCUCUAAAAAUCAACAUCUUCAGUGGGUUUCAUUGAGUUUUGUCUCAUACGAACUUGACAAGUAAAGCAGAGCUUGAAGCAAGAAUCAAUGGAAUGGGUCAUAUGGCCACCCAAGGUUGCUUGAUUUGAGAAGAUUUAUAUAGAGGUUGACAAAUUCGGUGAGGAAUUAGUAAAGCAUUCUGAGAAGUCAUUGCCCUUAUUAUUGGUCACUAUUAAUGGUUUAUUUUCAAAAUUGGAGGCGUCAAUUGGCCAUUUUCAUACAGUGUGUCAGAGUGACUCUUCUGUUGAUGGGAGCUAUUCAUUCCCUCUAAUGUUUGAGAAAUUUCCAGAAGUGAACUAGGAAGGCUCUCAAUGGACAUAUUGUGAGAUUAGAGAUGCUAUCAACUUAAUUUAUGAAAAUCUACACAAGCUGGAUUCUUACUUAAAUGUCAUUGUUAGAGUCUAAGCAUUCUUACUUAUGCUUUCUGAUUUUUCUUCAAAGUUUGUGGUUGUGUUUUAUUACUAAGAAUUGUUUGUGGUUGUGUCAUUGUAAGACUUUGGAAGGACUUAUUAGCCAAGAAAAGUUUGAAAAAUCUCGAGCCUAUAGUCUUGAUAAAAGGUUUUGUUGUUUUUUAUUUGGUCACAAGUUUCCUCAUUUAUAUUUUUUUACCUGUGCUACUCACUAAUAUAGCUAUUUUGGUUGUGCUCUGAUUUGCCUUUCUUAACUUUCAGCCACUUCCAUUUUGUUCAUGAGUUUGUAACUAUACUGAUGGACUUUGCAAUUUUGUUUUCUGGGGGUAUUGCCUUGGUUGUGGAAGACAUCAGGAGACUUCCUUGUGUACAUGGGUCUUAACGCAAAGAAUGAAAUAGUGCACACCCUUGCAUUUUUGGCCGGUGUUAUGUUUUGGUCACAGGAUUGGAUGUAUACUUCUUUCUGUUGGACAGGGUGAAUUCCAUGGUGAAGUGAUGCAUACUCUGAAGUUUGUUGUGAACUAGUCAGACUACACUGUGCAUACAUUAAGAAAUGUCACAGAGUAUCUAUUACUUGCGAAAACCAUUAAUAUGGUCCAGGUUUUUCUUCCUUCAAAUGACAAAGAUGAAAUUGACAAGUUGAAUGCAGAUUUAUAUACUGCAGUAGAUACAUUGAGCUAGAAAACAAGUGAAAAUUCUGAAACAAUACAGAGAGUCUUCAAUACAGUGCGAUCGACACUGAUCAUUAUUGCUGUGUUGAUGCUUGUUCUAUCUCUUAUUGGUCUUGGUCAGAAAUUUUUUAGAGUGAUG